CCAUGACCAAUGACUAAAGCAGUUAUUUUGAAUGAAUAUAUGAACUCCACUUCUCACCUCUCCAUAUGCUUCCUCAUCAAGAACAGCUUCCAUAGUGCAAAAGGAACAGCAGAGGGAAUGAAAGCAAACUUGGCAGGUACAUAGAAGAAAGCAGCAUAAUAACUGGAAGAAAGUGUUAUCUUCCCGUCUGGGAGGAGAAAUCAAAAAGAGACUGUUUGUGGUUCCUGAAAUAGACAGAUGGUUCUAUGGGACAACUUUCAUCAGCAAGUCAGGACUCCACAUUCAAAUCCAUUCUUAUUUUAAUGAAGUCAGUUGUUCUUUCCAUACCUACACCUCAUAAAAAUGUUUGGGUAUGAUCCA